rnacentral:ncRNA from 1 species
CUCUUCAGGGCAGGGUGAAAGUCCCGAUCGGCGGUAUAGUCCGCGAGCCUCUAUUAUAGGCAUGAACCGUUGCAACUACGGUACCGACAGUAUAGUCUGGAUGAAAGAAGAA